UAGGGAAUCUUCCGCAAUGGACGAAAGUCUGACGGAGCAACGCCGCGUGAGCGAUGAAGGCCUUCGGGUCGUAAAGCUCUGUUGUUAGGGAAGAACAAGUAUCGGAGUAACUGCCGGUACCUUGACGGUACCUAACCAGAAAGCCACGGCUAACUACGUGCCAGCAGCCGCGGUAAUACGUAGGUGGCAAGCGUUGUCCGGAAUUAUUGGGCGUAAAGCGCGCGCAGGCGGUCCUUUAAGUCUGAUGUGAAAGCCCACGGCUCAACCGUGGAGGGUCAUUGGAAACUGGGGGACUUGAGUACAGAAGAGGAAAGUGGAAUUCCACGUGUAGCGGUGAAAUGCGUGGAGAUGUGGAGGAACACCAGUGGCGAAGGCGACUUUCUGGUCUGUAACUGACGCUGAGGCGCGAAAGCGUGGGGAGCAAACAGGAUUAGAUACCCUGGUAGUCCACGCCGUAAACGAUGAGUGCUAAGUGUUAGAGGGUUUCCGCCCUUUAGUGCUGCAGCAAACG
rnacentral:rRNA from 1 species